rnacentral:rRNA from 1 species
UACGUAGGGUGCAAGCGUUUGUCCGGAAUUAUUGGGCGUAAAGAGCUUGUAGGCGGUUUGUCGCGUCUGCUGUGAAAUUUCGGGGCUCAACCCCCGAACUUGCAGUGGGUACGGGGCAGACUAGAGUGUGGUAGGGGGAGACUGGAAUUCCUGGUGUAGCGGUGAAAUGCGCAGAUAUCAGGAGGAACACCGAUGGGCGAAGGCAGGUCUCUGGGCCAUAACUGACGCUGAGAAGCGAAAAGCAUGGGGGAGCGAACAGG